CCCUUAGAUGUUCUGGGCCGCACGCGCGCUACACUGACGAAUGCAACGAGCUUAUAACCUUGGCCGAAAGGUCUGGGUAAUCUCCAAAUUUCGUCGUGAUGGGGAUAGAUUAUUGCAAUUAUUAAUCUUCAACGAGGAAUGCCUAGUAAGCGCAAGUCAUCAGCUUGCGUUGAUUACGUCCCUGCCCUUUGUACACACCGCCCGUCGCUCCUACCGAUUGAAUGGUCCGGUGAAGCGCUCGGACCGCGGCCUCUUGACGGUUCGCUGUCGAUUGGCUGUGGGAAGUUCGUUAAACCUUAUCAUUUAGAGGAAGGAGAAGUCAUAACA
rnacentral:rRNA from 1 species